rnacentral:rRNA from 1 species
GAUGAACGCUGGCGGCGUGCCUAAUACAUGCAAGUCGAGCGAAUGGAUUGAGAGCUUGCUCUCAAGAAGUUAGCGGCGGACGGGUGAGUAACACGUGGGUAACCCGCCCAUAAGACUGGGAUAACUCCGGGAAACCGGGGCUAAUACCGGAUCACAUUUUGAACUGCAUGGUUCGAAAUUGAAAGGCGGCUUCGGCUUUCACUUAUGGCUGGACCCGCGUCGGAUUAGCUAGUUGGUGAGGUAACGGCUCACGAAGGCAACGAUGCGUAGCCGACCUGAGAGGGUGAUCGGCCACACUGGGACUGAGACACGGCCCAGACUCUUACGGGAGGCAGCAGUAGGGAAUCUUCCUCAAUGGACGAAAGUCUGACGGAGCAACGCCGCGUGAGUGAUGAAGGCUUUCGGGUCGUAAAACUCUGUUGUUAGGGAAGAACAAGUGCUAGUUGAAUAAGCUGGCACCUUGACGGUACCUAACCAGAAAGCCACGGCUAACUACGUGCCAGCCGCCGCGGUAAGAC